rnacentral:rRNA from 1 species
UACGGAGGGGGCUAGCGUUGUUCGGAAUUACUGGGCGUAAAGCGCACGUAGGCGGCUUUGUAAGUUAGAGGUGAAAGCCCAGGGCUCAACCCUGGAAUUGCCUUUAAGACUGCAUCGCUUGAACAUCGGAGAGGUAAGUGGAAUUCCGAGUGUAGAGGUGAAAUUCGUAGAUAUUCGGAAGAACACCAGUGGCGAAGGCGACUUACUGGACGAUUGUUGACGCUGAGGUGACGAAAGCGUGGGGAGCAAACAGG